rnacentral:rRNA from 1 species
UGUUCUCAGUUCGGAUUGUAGUCUGCAACUCGACUACAUGAAGCUGGAAUCGCUAGUAAUCGUAGAUCAGCAUGCUACGGUGAAUACGUUCCCGGGUCUUGUACACACCGCCCGUCACACCACGAGAGUUUGUAACACCCGAAGCCGGUGGAGUAACCUUUUAGGAGCUAGCCGUCGAAGGUGGGACAAAUGAUUGGGGUGAAGUCGUAACAAGGUAGCCGUAUCGGAAGGUGCGGCUGGAUCACCUCCUUU